rfam:Thalassobius gelatinovorus strain CECT 4357 genome assembly, contig: 0019
UGAUCGGGAGGUUUCUGGUGGGACAGAAACCAUGAAUGGAUCGUAAUCAACCUGUUUCAAAUGGACGUGCUGCCGGGGCCCGACGGCAGGCGCG